rnacentral:rRNA from 1 species
UACGUAGGGGGCUAGCGUUGUCCGGAAUCAUUGGGCGUAAAGAGCGUGUAGGCGGCUUGGUAAGUCCGCUGUGAAAGUCCAGGGCUCAACCCUGGAAUGCCAGUGGAUACUGUCAAGCUAGAGUCCGGAAGAGGCGAGUGGAAUUCCCUGGUGUAGCGGUGAAAUGCGCAGAUAUCAGGAGGAACACCAAUGGCGAAGGCAGCUCGCUGGGACGGUACUGACGCUGAGACGCGAAAGCGUGGGGAGCAACAGG